GCCAGGUGCGUGUACCUUCCUGCUCCUCCUCCGCCUAUCGGCCGCCCGCCAGUCCCGUUAGCGCCGCUACUGCUGGAAGGACAGUUUCUGGUGUGUGACCCACAGAGGAUUACAUAAACCAGCUAUCUCCGAGGAUUAAACCACGGAAAUGCUCGGAAAACAUGAGAGGUGCUGGAGGUUGACGACAUUAUGUAAAGGACCAGCAAACUUCCAUGAGUAACCAAUCUCAAUCAGAGGAUAAAUGCUCCAUGUGGAGAAGCCCUUACUGGCACAUACUUCUGAAUAGACACUACAGUAACACACUGGUAGGCUGCAAUCCUAUGUACGUUUACAUGGGAGUGUCUCACUGAACUCCCAGUAAACAUGCAGUUGCACUUAGCCUGCUUUAGAGAUAGGAAAGGAGAAAUAAACCUGGUGUUGAAAAAGAGGA